CAGUCGCCGCGGGAAUACGAAGGGGGCUAGCGUUGCUCGGAAUGACUGGGCGUAAAGGGCGCGUAGGCGGCGAUCAAAGUCAGGCGUGAAAUUCCUGGGCUCAACCUGGGGGCUGCGCUUGAUACUUGGUUGCUUGAGUGGGGAAGAGGGUCGUGGAAUUCCCAGUGUAGAGGUGAAAUUCGUAGAUAUUGGGAAGAACACCGGUGGCGAAGGCGGCAACCUGGUCUUUAACUGACGCUGAGGCGCGAAAGCGUGGGGAGCAAACAGGAUUAGAUACCCCAGUAGUCCCUGUCUCUUAUAC
rnacentral:rRNA from 1 species